GGACAUCCGCCUCGCAAUCGUCGACUCGAGAGCAAGAACAUGUUGAGGAUCCCCUGAUCCUAAGGUUGACGGCAACAUCCAACCGAAGUCAACCGAAGACUUCGAUCCUCUUGUGAAGCCACACCCGAACAAGUAUUCCUUCAAAUGUGCUAGAGCGGCCUACAUGACCACCAUUUUACUUGAUUUUGAGAAAGGAGUGAUGAGCGGGGCAUGCUAUACGUAAAGAGGGAGUUGAAGAUAACCAACGUGUAGGCUGACGUCUUUACAGGGAUCCUCAACGUGUUCUUGCCCCUCGAGUCGGCAAUUACGGGUCGAAUCUAUGACAGGAUUGGCCACCGUUACACGAUCCUAUUGGCAA